ACAUUUGUGGUCGCGACAAAAAAGCAAAUCAAUUAGUGUGUUUUAUUUAUUGGGAAUGCUUAGAAAUUUAUAAUUAAAUGCUUCAUUUUUCAAAAAAUAACUUAAUAAUUUAAUUACAAAACAAAUCCUUAAUAAUGAAUUUGAGGCUUCACAACUCCAAUUCCAAAUAUGGUAAAAAAAUAACAUAAUACAACUUUGGGUUCCCGCUAACCACACGAUUGAACCAAUAUCCCAACCAUAACCCCAUGGCCAAUUCUUCCACACGAUGAAGAUAAGAAGAUUCUAUGGUAACAUUAACUGUAUUUUGAAAUGAAUUUUUAAUCUGGGUGUUAGAAUAUAUUCUAGAUGUCCCUAAGAUAUUUUAUAUAGUUAGAAUAUAUUCUGAAUAUAUUCUUAGACAGAAUAUAUUCUGAAUAUAUUCAUGUUGAUUAUACUAUUUCAUUUACUUUAUUAUGGUUUCCUAUGCACACUAUUCCCAUUAGGUUUUUUCUUUCUAUAUAGAGGACCUCUUAUGUAUUUUUUUUUAAUUAAUUUACCUCCAAUACCAAUUUCUUCUAACAUGUUAUCAGAGCCAUAAUCUUAUUAUGGCCUAAUCCUUUAUUGCUUCCCCGCCGCAGAGCCGCCGCCGGAAAAUUAUUCGAUAUGUUCUUUUUCUUCAUUUUUGUUUUUUAUUACCUUUUCUCUUCCUUUUUAAACAUCCCCCCUAACAAGCACAGCGAAGACACCCGCCUGACUACCCCAUCGGCGAAGAACAACCCGCCGACCAACCCCACCCAUCGCGAUGAACACACCCGCCAACCAACCACCACCCAUCGGCGAUGACAACCCGCAACCAACCACCCACUACUUCGGCGAAAAACACCCGCCGACCAAGACUCAUCAUCCGAUGAGGUCCACGCGCCCUGCCCCCUCGUCUACGCUCCCACAGGGCCCACGAGCCCCACUCGCCCAUGAGCCACACUCCCUGCACCCGCUUUUGAGACCUUAUAUCCAAAUUCAAUUUGGUUUCUCGUUGUACCAGCUUGUUUGAGGGGGAUGUUAGAACUUAUGCCUAGAUGUCAUAAGAUAGUUUAUAUAAGUUAGAUUAUUCUGAUACUCCUCCCCCAAAUAUCUUAUGAUUCUAGAAUAUUUCUAACAUCCCCCCUCAAAUUCAAGUUGGUUUCCUCAUUUACAGAAUAAUUCUGAAUAUAUUCAUGGUUUUAUAUACUCUACUUCAUUUACUGUAUAUUGUUUCCUUAUGCAAACUAUUCUAUUUAGUUUUUUCUCUAUAUAAAGAGGACUCAGUAUGUAUUUUUAAUUAAUUUCAUCUCAAUAGCAUUUUCUAACACGGGAAAGAUCACUGACCUAACAUCAACAAAUUUGGUGAGGGGUUUGAUGCUGCGAGUGUAGAUCGAGCAUCUUUUUGUUUGUCUGGAAGCACAAAUGCAAAACGGUUGAGGAACUUAGUUUUUUCUUAAGGUUGUUGAAUUGAAAUCUUGGAGUUAGUUUCAUAACUACGGCAAGACACAAUAAUGAUUUAACAGUUUGGAAUUCAGAGAAUGAUUGACUUUUGUAAUUUCAAAGUUAAAGCCUCUCAGUUCCAGAAUUGAAGUUCUUAUAUAUAUGCUUUUAGUCUCUGGUUGAAGCAUUGGGGGUAGCCUAUCUAGCAUUGUUGAAACAUAACUUGACAACUGAUAACUUACAUGAAGUCAUGAAUUAUCAGAACUUUGAAUGGAGAAUGAAUUUUCUUAUUAUUUUAUUGAUCAUCUGUUUUUGGUUAUAUAUACACUGAGAUGUUUUACAUUCAAGAUAAAAGAUAAUGAAGAAUAUAUGAAGGAAGAAAAUAUAUCAGUCAAUCAGACUGUUUUUAAAUAACAGAUGAGUGCAUAACACUAACUACUACUACUAACGGCAACUGUUAACUGCCUGUGUCAUCCAUGAAUUGUAACUAAUCACUGCCAUCUUCUUGAUAUUAUUGUUAUCCUAAUCUCCCUCUCAAGAUGGAUACAUGAAUGUCUUUCACAGCCAUCUUGGAUAAAGAGUGAAAUAAGAAGAAACAGGUAGAGCUUUAGUAAUACAUAGCUAGCUGAUGUUGAGAUUUAAUGGCGAAUUAAUCUGAUGGGCCUGUAGUGAUUUUAUCACGAAUGAAAUGGCAAUCGAUUUCUAUGUGUUUGGUUCUUUCAUAAAGAUUGGAUUUGUAGCAAAUGGGACAAAAACCUGAUUAUCACAAAAAAGGAGUGCUGGAGAUGAAUCAUCAAUCUGAACAUCUUCAGUAUUGAUGUAUCCAACUACCUCAUGUAGUAGAACUGAAGCCCUGAAUUUCUGCCUCUGCAGAAGAUCUGGAAAUUGGUGGUCUGCUCUUGGUUUUCCCUGAUAUUAAAGAUUCACUCGAUAAAACAUAGAAUCCCGUAAGGCGAUCUUCUAGUAUCUUUGCAAUCCCCCCAAUCAGCAUCAAAAAAGGCUUUAAUUUGUAGAGAUGAGAGGAGAGAGAAUAAUCCCUGACCAGGAUUUGACUUGAGAU
rnacentral:lncRNA from 1 species